CAAAAAAAUAGAAGUAGAAAUUUUUUUUCCCCACGAUCGAAAAUUUUCUUUCUUUCCUCUCUCUCUCUCUCAGUCCAGAAUUGAUAAACUAGGAAGGAAUCAAACGCUAUGGAAGCAGAAGAGAUUGGGGUCGUAGGAGAUCCGAAGGGGAGGAGAUUGAAUCUGGGGAGGCCAAUCGGAGGAUAUUGAAUCGACUCCGAGAUCGAUUGGGUUGAUAUUUGAGUUUGGAGUCGAUACAUUCGAUUGAGGUUGAAGCAAUGAGGAGUCAUAUUAGUGAAGUUUCGGUUGGAGAUGCUUAUCAAGAAAUGUGGCACAAAGGUUCUCAAGUCUGUGAAGCAUGAGGAACAAAUGUAAAUCCAAACAAACAUUAAAGUUCAAGAAACGUAAGGAAAGGAUAUAUGUGUUAACUCUUAAAGAGAAAGAGAAAG